rnacentral:tRNA from 1 species
GUGCGUUUCGUCUAGUGGCCCAGGACAGCCGCCCUUCCGGCGGCAGACACAGGUUCGAAUCCUGUAGCGCGCU